GUAGAUGUAGUUUAACUGAAAACUCUAGAUUGUGAUUCUAAAAAUGGAGGUUAAAAUCCCCCCAUCCACC
rnacentral:tRNA from 1 species